rnacentral:rRNA from 1 species
AACGAACGCUGGCGGCGUGCCUAACACAUGCAAGUCGAACGGGAUUAGGGGCUUGCUCCUAAUCUAGUGGCGCACGGGUGAGUAACGCGUAGAUAAUCUGCCUGAUGAUCUGGGAUAACACUUCGAAAGGGGUGCUAAUACCGGAUAAGCCCACGUGGUCUUCGGAUCGUGCGGGAAAAGGGGGGGACCUUUUGGCCUUCUGUCAUCAGAUGAGUCUGCGUACCAUUAGCUAGUUGGUAGGGUAAAGGCCUACCAAGGCGACGAUGGUUAGCUGGGCUGAGAGGAUGAUCAGGCACACUGGAACUGAGACACGGUCCAGACUACUACGGGAGGCAGCAGUGGGGAAUUUUUCGCAAUGGGCGAAAGCCUGACGCAGCAACGCCGCGUGAGUGAUGAAGGCUUUCGGGUCGUAAAGCUCUGUCAAUGGGAAAGAAGUGUAUUGAGGCUAAUAUCCUUGAUACUUGACGGUACCCAUAAAGGAAGCACCGGCUAACUCCGUGCCAGCAGCCGCAGUAAGAC